rnacentral:rRNA from 1 species
UGGGGAAUAUUGGACAAUGGGCGAAAGCCUGAUCCAGCCAUGCCGCGUGUGUGAAGAAGGUCUUCGGAUUGUAAAGUACCUUAAGUUGGGAGGAAGGGCAGUAAGCGAAUACCUUGCUGUUUUGACGUUACCGACAGAAUAAGCACCGGCUAACUCUGUGCCAGCAGCCGCGGUAAUACAGAGGGUGCAAGCGUUAAUCGGAAUUACUUGGCGUAAAGCGCGCGUAGGUGGUUCGUUAAGUUGAAUGUGAAAGCCCCGGGCUCAACCUGGGGACUGCAUCCAAAACUGGCGAGCUAGAGUAGGGCAGAGGGUGGUGGAAUGUCCUGUGUAGCGGUGAAAUGCGUGGAUAUAAGAAGGAACACCAGUGGCGAAGGCGACCACCUGGGCUCAUACUGACACUGAGGUGCGAAAGAGUGGGGAGCAAACAGG